CCUACGGGAGGCAGCAGUCGGGAAUCUUGCACAAUGGGCGAAAGCCUGAUGCAGCAACGCCGUGUGAGCGAUGAAGGCCCUAGGGUCGUAAAGCUCUGUUGUUAGGGACGAAGGGCGAAGGGUUAAUAGCCCCUAGCCUGACGGUACCUUUCGAGGAAGCCCCGGCUAACUACGUGCCAGCAGCCGCGGUAAU
rnacentral:rRNA from 1 species